rnacentral:rRNA from 1 species
UACGUAGGGUGCAAGCGUUGUCCGGAAUUAUUGGGCGUAAAGAGCUCGUAGGCGGUUCGUCGCGUCGGCUGUGAAAUCCUGAGGCUCAACCUCGGGUCUGCAGUCGAUACGGGCGGACUGGAGUUCGGCAGGGGAGACUGGAAUUCCUGGUGUAGCGGUGAAAUGCGCAGAUAUCAGGAGGAACACCGGUGGCGAAGGCGGGUCUCUGGGCCGAUAUUGACGCUGAGGAGCGAAAGCGUGGGGAGCGAACAGG